AGGAAGGAGUAAACAAAGAAGGAAGCAGCCGAACCUCGGGCGAACGACGUGUGUGAAGAACGGCCGCGGCCGAGGGUGCUCCGGGACGCGGAGAGAGUCGGAGGGCGCCGGCGGGAGACCGAGAGUCCAGGGUCUGCUAGUCGCUGCUGGUGAAUAAAAGGGAGAGAGGAGGCGCCUCUUACUGCUCUGCCGGAAAACUGCAGCCUGCGCUCCUGAUUGGACUCACCGAGCCCUAAACAAACAGCGCUCGCCGAAGGGUGCCAGGCUGUGGGUCGGAACUGCUCUCUACAAGCUGCUGGGUGCGGAGCGGGCCAAGGACUGGAAAUGAACACUGGCGGGGUUAUCAGUGCGGAUCUGUCAGCAGCGAGUGGCGCACUGCUUGUCCCAGGCAGCCGCAGUGGUGUACUUCUUAUUCCUUCGGGCCCACAAGGAGGAUUUCUCCCGACAAGCUGGACACUGGAAGGCUGCGGGAAGGGAAUUGAACAGGAGAAACACUCUUAUGGGAGUGGAUUUUUACACGCACACCCCACGUAAAUUAAAUCACUGUGGCUUCAGUGUGACUGCCUUUCUGAAAGGCUGAAAGUAGAAAACUCUGGAAUGGAGAGGCUGGCAACUGGAGCAGGAUUCGAAGGCUUUAAAUUUUAACCCGCGUUCGAUCGAAAGUUACUACCACAAGAGACUGGCACCGGCCGGCCCAAUUCCCACCAUGGCUUCCAGAGGCUUGCUUUGGGGUUGUCCGGGCUAAUGCACUGGUCCCGGGCGGCGGGAAUAGAGCCCCACGCGGGACCCGACCCUGGCCCCGUGCGCUUGCAGCCUCUGGUGACCCCGGCCGGCAGCCACCAGCUCAGCGCAGAGGUGGGCUAAGGUCACUGAGGUGGCAUCCCUGUCCGCGCGCUGUUUACGUGACUUAAUGUACUUCUUACGCGGCGCUUGUUAUCUGGGCCACCCAAUGACCGACGAAAGAUCUUCCCUCACCACGUCUCCCAUCACCGCUUUAAACCAAAUAAAUUUAGCUAUUAAGGGCCAAGAUGUCUGACAAAAGAUCGAAAGGUGUCUCUCUGGGAUCCCUUAAAGAAGCCGAGAAGCUGGCUUAGCUCUCGAAUCCCGAUAAAGAAAUUCCAUGCCGGCGCCGGCCUCCCUCCGCAGCCUGCUUGCUUCAGACACCCUGAGAUCACUACCUCAAAGGUCCAUUGCGACCUGUGACUGCAACUGAGGCACUGUCUCUGAGUCUCCUGGCCUGGGGAUGUUCGGGCAUUGGAACUAACCCUAACCCUGAUGCAAAAGCUGUGGUACCUAAACAUUCUGCCUGGCUUGCAGAAGAACCAAGGUCAAUAAAACAAACCCAAAGUGCCAUUUAAAUUUGCACCCCCCCCCCCAUCCUUUUUUCCUUUAAGACAAAGCCUUCUAUUAUAUAUGACAGGCUGGCCUGGAGCUCAUGAUCCCCCAAGCCUCAGGCCUGUAGAGCAUUGAAAAUUACAAGUGCUUGUAGCCUUGUCCUACCUUCCUCCCCACCCCCACAAUAACUAAUAAAGGCAAAACCAAGUCAUACCAGUCUACCUUUUCCAUGGUUCAUUUUAGG
ensembl:lncRNA